UACGGAGGGUCCAAGCGUUAUCCGGAUUUAUUAGGUUUAAAGGGUCCGCAGGCGGGAUUUUAAGUCAGUGGUGAAAGCCUACAGCUCAACUGUAGAACUGCCAUUGAUACUGAUAUCCUUGAGUGUGGUUGAAGUGGGCGGAACAUGUCAUGUAGCGGUGAAAUGCAUAGAUAUGACAUAGAACACCAAUUGCGAAGGCAGCUCACUAAGCCAUUACUGACGCUGAGGGACGAAAGCGUGGGGAGCGAACAGG
rnacentral:rRNA from 1 species